CAGACUUCUAGAGCAGCUCUGACUCAGGACCACAGAUCAACCAGAUGUCAGAGGGACAUCUGCCAGGUGUUUUAGUUCAGACUUCUAGAGCAGCUCUGACUCAGGACCACAGAUCAACCAGAUGUCAGAGGGACACCUUCCAGGUGUUUUAGUUCAGACUUCUAGAGCAGCUCUGACUCAGGACCACAGAUCAACCAGAUGUCAGAGGGACAUCUGCCAGGUGUUUUAGUUCAUACUUCUAGAGCAGCUCUGACUCAGGACCACAGAUCAACCAGAUGUCAGAGGGACAUCUGCCAGGUGUUUUAGUUCAGACUUCUAGAGCAGCUCUGACUCAGGACCACAGAUCAACCAGAUGUCAGAGGGACACCUGCCAGGUGUUUUAGUUCAGACUUCUAGAGCAGCUCUGACUCAGGACCACAGAUCAACCAGAUGUCAGAGGGACAUCUGCCAGGUGUUUUAGUUCAGACUUCUAGAGCAGCUCUGACUCAGGACCACAGAUCAACCAGAUGUCAGAGGGACAUCUGCCAGGUGUUUUAGAGCAGCUCUGGGAAAGAACAUGUGGCGAAUAAGAUGAACCCUGUUUUACAGUUGAAGAAGAAUUUCCAGUCAUGUACAUUCGUAGAUCAGUACUAAGAAAAGAGAUCUGCCGACCGUCUGUGUGAACCCAAUACUUACUCUCUACUCUGGCCAAAGAGGGAUAUGAUAUCCAUUCUUGAAAGCCAGACUUUGACCACUUUGACUUAGCUCUUCUUUAUACAGCCUUUUGUUAACUAAUUACCACACGAUUUCAGCCAAAUACCUAUUUUCUUUCAGUGCUUUAUAAACAGCAAGGAUUGUAAAAAAUAGAAUGCCAAUUUCACGGGGAAAGGAAUUGAUUUGUUUCAUUGUCUCGUCUAUUGUCAUUGUAUGGUGUUGGUGUGCAACAACUUCAAACAAUAAACCUUACAACGCAGGAUACCUCAGAAUAUAAAUCCAUGUAAAGCUUGACAGCCUCCAUGGCGUUGUUAGUUCCUCUACAUUUUGCCCUCUUGAUGCUCCACGUGCUUUUUACUCUGUUAUUUCCACUUUUAUCCCUCACACGGCAUGUAGCACAUAGUGGACGUGUCAUAGCUUAUUUUUUUUCUUGUUCUGGGGACUUUUUAAGACGGGUCUCUCAUUCAGUCCCUCCCCGGAGCCAGAGAUAAAGAGAGGAGGUGGUGAUUGGGAGUGAAAGGAACACUAAUUCACAUUCUAGAAUUCAUUUUGGGAUCUCGUUUGAUCCUGAAGUCACGAGAGAGAAAAUAUCUUCAUCUAUAUCUGCUGAUUUGAACUGGAGCUCGGUUUCCUCGUCUCUUCUCUUUCAUUAUUUUGAAACUAGAGAUGCUCAGAGGCCGAAGGUCAAUCUGUUAAGUCCUAUAAUCCCCAUUUCUUUCCUUUUGGAUACCUCUUUUUGAUUUAUCAUCUACAUUCUCAUCAUUAAAACUGAAUGUAACGACACAAACUAACCUCACGAUUCUAACUUGACAGAUGGAAGAAAAACAUAUACUAUAUAUGUACAUAUGUAUAACACACAACACACAAUGCAUUGUAUAUAUACAGAUCUCCUAAAGACAGAUACAUACUUAUCUUGUGGAAGGGGAAAAACAACCGUUUCCUUUGUUUGAUUCAGGGAACAAUAGUCCAGUGCGGUAUGUUAGAUAUCACUCCCAUGGCUCUCUUUCUGACUGUAUGUUAGAUAUCAC
ensembl:lncRNA